AGCAAAGUGCGCAGUGACAGUUCGAGAAUUAUGGAGGGAGAUGUAAAUCUUGGUGAAUGUUCUAAACAAAAACGUACGAGAGCCCCAAAUUUUACGAAGUCUGAGAAAACCCUUUUCACGGAGCUGCUACAUGAGUACUCAAAAUUUAUUGAAAGCAAGAAAACAGACGCUAUGAGUAAUGCUGAAAAGACUAGAAAGUGGUCAGAACUACGUGACGAGUUCAAUUCGAGGAGUUCCUUACAUCAUCGUAGUAUUCAAAAUCUACAAAGUUUCUGGGAGAAUUUGAAUUGGGAUGCUAGAUAAGCAGCUGCGCAUCAGCGUGCUGAGAAUAUUAAAAUCGUCUAGGGUCUAGGAGUUCGGUAGUAGAUCCCUCGGACAUAGAUUUGAAAGUAUUAGAUAUUAUAAAGAUGUCAGGCACAGGAAUUAAUUGAGACACACUUUGGAGGUGAUGCAGAAAGUCUUCUUUCAGUAGUUGAAGUUCAUGUAAUUGAUGACACUAAAAUCCCACUAGAUACACAAACUGUUGACAUGUCCGGGGAGAAAAAUAAAUGUAAUGAUGUGGUACCUCAUAUGCUUUAUCAAAGAAAACCAGAUGCAUUACAUGCUAGCCAAGUGGACAAUACACCAUCAACUUCUAACGAAGAGGCAAUUUCAGGUGAACUCCAUCAGGUACAAGAAAGAAGUAUAGAGACUGAACUGAAGUGGAGUAAAAAUUGUGAAAGAAGAUAUCCUGCUUUGAAAGAUGACAUCACUCAUCAAAUGAAAGUUGCGAAGCUAGAUUUGAUGAAAGCUACGAAGGUACUUUUUGAAGUGGAUCAAAAAAAA